rnacentral:lncRNA from 1 species
GCCAGGAGCUGGCGGCUGGGAGGUGGUGUGGGGGCAGCCCCACUAAUCCCUGUGCUUUCGCCAAACAAAGCUGCCAGGAGGGGCUGGCUCCCAGGAGAUGAUCCAGAGAACCAAUUCCUCGAGCCUAACCCGCUCUGACAGCCCGAAAAGGAGAGGCCGCUACCGACCCCAGCUUGGCCAUAGGGGCUAAAGGAGGCUUGGCCUGGGUCCUCCCGUGUCCGCCCGUGGAAACUUCUCCCUGUCCGCAAGGAUAUGUUUCUUUACUUCCCCUCUCUUCAAGUUUGGCUCUCCUGGCCACCUAGUUCCUCAGCCCCAAACACCUCAACCUCUUUCCAGGCCCUGAUACCCUAGUCCUGCAACACCCCAGUUCUUAACCUCCAGCCCCCAUAUCUCAAAUCCUCAGCCCUCCAACAUUCCAAUCCUCAGUAUCCCAGACCCAAAUGCUUUAGCUCCCAGUCUUCUGUCUCCUAAUUUCUCACCCCCAGUCCCAACCCACAGACUCCCAAACCCUCAGCUUCCCAAUCUCUACUCUCCAGAUUCUCAGCCCCCAAUCCUCAACUCUCCAGUCUCCCAUCCCAUCCCCCAGGUCCCCACCUCCAGCCUCCAUAGAACACCAACCCCUGUUCUCUCAGCCCUUCCCUUCUCUGUCCAACCUGAUGCUCCUACAGGAUUCAUCUGGCUGUCUCUGCCCCAUUCUAUUCUGUCUGACCAGGCUUCCCGGCACCGUGUGCCCAGACCUGUACUCAGCUGGCCAUGGAGAAGACUGAGGAGGGAAAUGAUUCUGAUUACCCUGAUUAAACCUGAGCCUCCCACCAGAUACUCCCUACAGCUGUGUUCACCCUGGAAUCCUGAGGCUUCAUUCCAGUCUCACCGCAUCUCUUGUAGAAGGCCAGUUCCUCCUCCUCCUGUAGCGUCACGGUGGUGACCAGCACCACGCCAACAGGGAAGUUCAGGAUGUUGCACAAGUUCGUGUAGGAGAAGCUCUCUGUAGGAAGAUCCAGGUAAGCCCAGGAAAUAGGCUGGGAAAAAACUCAGGUGGGGAAGAAUGUGGGUGAGCGCCCCCUGGGGGUCCUUCUCAAAACUGCAGCCCUUUGGGUUUGGAAUAGCUCAUC